UGGAAAAUGCAAUUUGGUAAU
rnacentral:piRNA from 1 species